CGUAGCCCACUGUUUUCAGGGGUUCAAGAAAAUUCCUCAUUAUGGUAUUGUGCUAUCACAUUUUCAUUGGUUAUACAUUCAUAAGUUUAGGUAUUUUUAUGAGAUACCCAUGCAAAAUCUGUGUCAUAUUUUGGGCUUUAUUUUCACAGAGACAGAAUGUCAAAAAGGAAGAAAAGGAUACAGCCUGUUGAUGAUGCAACAUCAUAUAUUCUGUCUUCAAGGGACAAGCCGGGAUUUAUGGAAAGAUUUAUUAAUAGUUACAAAGGCAGAGGAGUGUUUGUGACCCAGCCCAUUGAACCAGGAGCUUUCCUCUUGGAAUACAGAGGUGAACUCAUAUCAGUUGAAGAAUGCCGGUCCAGACACUACUCCGAGAAAGAGAGUACAUUUCUGUUUGAAUUUGAAUGGCAAAAACAUCGCUGGUGCAUUGAUGCAUCAAAAGAAGAUGGCUCUCUUGGAAGAUUAGUGAAUGACAACCAUAAAUCUCCAAACUGCAU